rnacentral:rRNA from 1 species
GAUGAACGCUGGCGGCGUGCUUAAUACAUGCAAGUCGAGCGAACAGACGAGGAGCUUGCUCCUCUGACGUUAGCGGCGGACGUGUGAGUAACAUGUGGAUCACCUACCUAUAAGACUGGGAUAACUUCGGGAAACCGGAGCUAAUACCGGAUAAUAUAUUGAACCGCAUGGUUCAAUAGUGAAAGACGGUUUUGCUGUCACUUCUAGAUGGAUCCGCGCUGCAUUAGCUGGUUGGUAAGGUAACGGCUUACCAAGGCGACGAUGCGUAGCCGACCUGCGAGCGUGAUCGGCCACACUGGAACUGAGACACGGUCCAGACUCCUACGGGAGGCAGCAGUAGGGAAUCUUCCGCAAUGGGCGAAAGCCUGACGGAGCAACGCCGCGUGAGUGAUGAAGGUCUUCGGAUCGUAAAACUCUGUUAUUAGGGAAGAACAAAUGUGUAAGUAGCUAUGCACGUCGUGACGGUACCUAAUCAGAAAGCCACGGCUAACUACGUG